GACGAACGCUGGCGGCGUGCUUAACACAUGCAAGUCGAACGAUGAAGCGGCCAGCUUGCUGGUGGUGGAUUAGUGGCGAACGGGUGAGUAACACGUGAGUAACCUGUCCUUCACUUCGGGAUAACCGCCGGAAACGGUGGCUAAUACCGGAUACGACGCACUCCUGCAUGGGAUGUGCGUGGAAAGUCUUAUCGGUGAAGGAUGUGCUCGCGGCCUAUCAGCUUGUUGGUGAGGUAACGGCUCACCAAGGCUUCGACGGGUAGCCGGCCUGAGAGGGUGACCGGCCACACUGGGACUGAGACACGGCCCAGACUCCUACGGGAGGCAGCAGUGGGGAAUAUUGGACAAUGGGCGAAAGCCUGAUCCAGCAACGCCGCGUGAGGGAUGACGGCCUUCGGGUUGUAAACCUCUUUCAGUACCGACGAAGCGCCAACAACGGUGGUGACGGUAGGUACAGAAGAAGGACCGGCCAACUACGUGCCAGCAGCCGCAGUAACAC
rnacentral:rRNA from 1 species